UGUUCACUAACAAGUUCAGCAGACUUUGAAUCACGUUAUUUGUUCUAAGGUCAAUGUAUUUUAGCUGCAUCCUCUGUUUCUAUUUGUUGCCAGCAUCUUUAGUACAAGGAGAAAAAUUAGUAGGAACUGCUCCUGCUCAAGUGAUGGAAACUGACUGACGAAGUCAUUACACUCUAAGAAAGAAGAAAAAUGAGAAUAGCUCUCAAGAUAGUUGAAGCCUUUGAAGGACAUGGUGUUUCAUCGUUAACUAGCUUGCCAAGUUGCCGUCGUCAUAGGGCUGUUAUUGAACUGAGUUGCUUGCUUGGAAUUUAUUAUGCUAUAAUUGCUUUGAUGAUUUAAUGGAUUAUAUUACAAUUACUUUGGAGAUGAUAUAGAUGCAUUAGCAACCUAAGGGGAUGAAAUAGUUUCAGUCUCACUCUUCAAUGAUGACCACUUUAGAUUCA